UACGUAGGGUGCAAGCGUUGUCCGGAAUUAUUGGGCGUAAAGAGCUCGUAGGCGGUUCGUCGCGUCGGCUGUGAAAACCCGAGGCUCAACCUCGGGCCUGCAGUCGAUACGGGCGGACUGGAGUUCGGCAGGGGAGACGUGGAAUUCCCGGAUCGUAGCGGGUGAAAAUGCGCAGAUAUCGGGAGGAACACCUAUGGCGAAGGCAGCUCGCUGGGACGUUACUGACGCUGAGACGCGAAAGCGUGGGGAGCAAACAGG
rnacentral:rRNA from 1 species